UCUGGGACUUUGCUCAUGCUUGACAUUCUUCUCAGAACUCUGAAGAUAUGUACUAGACUACAAUUUUUGUUUGAAAGUCAUCUGAACAGUUUUGCAAGGUUUCAUCAUCUUGUAUUGUCUGACUGCUGGAAUACACCCACUGAAGUACGAAUCUCCCACAUUUUUUACCUGGAAAAAAUUCUGCACAACCAUUGUAAGGCCUUUUUCCCAAGGUGGCAAAAUCUUAAGCCCAGGAAAGGAAAGCAAGAUUCAUUUCCUUCAAGUGAGGAGCUCUCUGACUUCGAGCUAUCCUUAUGUGUGCUCAUCCAUGUGAGAAGAAGAGGUGAUCUACAGGGACUAUUCAAGUGAGGAGCUCCAGAUAUUUGAACCAAGACCUUCCUAAUUAUUGUCUAAUAGAUAGAUCGUGAAAUCACCCAUCAUAAGUAGCUGGAAUUGUUGACCGUUAAUUCAGAGCUAAUAUUUUGAAGCAUGAGGUUUUGCAAGCUGAGCCAUAUUUCUUGCAGAAUUCAGAGGGAACUCAGAGGCUGCUGUAAAAGAAGAGUACUGCAGUUUCUGUGCUGGAGUGGUUGGAAUGGAGAGCACAUGCAUUGUGCAUGUGUACACAUGCAAGCGUGUGCAUAUGUGUGUAUAGCCACAAGCACGAUUGCCCACAGUUCAUGAUGAAGGAAAUCAGUCCAUAUACUUUCUGAAUCCAACAUAUGAAGAUCAUUGCUGUUCAAACUUGGCCCUGACCUUGAGAUACGAGACCUUCCUGUGGGUUGCUGAAGGAGACCCAUAUCGAUGGCAG
ensembl:lncRNA